rnacentral:rRNA from 1 species
GAUGAACGCUGGCGGCGUGCCUAAUACAUGUAAGUCGAGCGAACAGACGAUGAGCUUGCUCCUCUCACGUUAGCGGCGCACGGGUGAGUAACACGUGUAUAACCUACCUAUAAGACUGGUAUAACUUCGGGAAACCGGCUCUAAUACCGUAGAAUAUACUGAACCGCAUUGUGCGAUAGUGAAAUACGGUGGUGCGGUCACUUAUAGAGGGAUCUGGGCCGCAUUAGAUAGUUGUUAAGGUAACGGCUUACCAAGGCAACGAUGCGUAGACGACCUGAGAGAGUGAUCGGCGACAUGGGAGGUGAGACGGGGACAAGAGGCCUAAGGGACGCAGCAGUAGGGAACCUGCGGCAGUGGGCGAAAGCAUGACGGAGUAACGGGAAGCCAGAGAUGACGGUCUUCGGAGCGUAAAAAUCUGUUAUUAGGGAAGAACAACUGUGGAAGUAACUGUGCACGGCUUGACGGUAACUAAUCAGAAAGCAACGGCUAACUACGUG